CUUUGGGGUUCAGGCCAUGGGCCCUGGCCCCCAGCCCCAGUCAGCCUGGGCUGGGUCUGGAGCCUGGGACCUUCCCUAUGGAGUCCAUCAGGAGGGGACCUACCCUCCUUGGACCAGAAGAGAGGAGCUGGGGCUUCUCUAUGCGCCUCAGUGGACACGAGCUCCCGGGGCUGGGUCCUGACGGAGGAGGAGGGCUCAGGGAGGCAUUGCUGACCGUCUGCUGUAGCUCCUGCAUCCCCCUCCCUGCUCACUGCUGGCCCUUCCCUUCCUGGCAGGCGGCUCCUGCAGCUGUGCUGGCUCCUGCACCUGCAAAGCCUGCAGAUGCACCUCCUGCAAGAAGAGCUGCUGCUCCUGCUGCCCCGUGGGCUGCGCCAAGUGUGCCCAGGGCUGCGUGUGCAAAGGGGCCUCGGACAAGUGCAGCUGCUGUGCCUGAUGUCGCGGACAGCCUGCCCCGGGUGUCAAUGGAAGAACGCGGGCCGACCUGCGUUUUUAUAAAACCCUGACUUGAUUGCUACAUUCCCUUUCCGAUGAAAUAUGUAAGUGGUAAUAAAAGUUGUUGACACUC